AACGAACGCUGGCGGCAUGCCUAACACAUGCAAGUCGAACGAUGCUUUCGGGCAUAGUGGCGCACGGGUGCGUAACGCGUGGGAAUCUGCCCUUGGGUUCGGAAUAACAGUUAGAAAUGACUGCUAAUACCGGAUGAUGUCGAUAAGACCAAAGAUUUAUCGCCUGAGGAUGAGCCCGCGUAGGAUUAGCUAGUUGGGGUGGUAAAGGCGCACCAAGGCGACGAUCCUUAGCUGGUCUGAGAGGAUGAUCAGCCACACUGGGACUGAGACACGGCCCAGACUCCUACGGGAGGCAGCAGUGGGGAAUAUUGGACAAUGGGCGCAAGGCUGAUCCAGCAAUGCCGCGUGAGUGAUGAAGGCCUUAGGGUUGUAAAGCUCUUUUACCCGAGAUGAUAAUGACAGUAUCGGGAGAAUAAGCCCCGGCUAACUCCGUGCCAGCCGCCGCGGUAACAC
rnacentral:rRNA from 1 species